rnacentral:rRNA from 1 species
ACUCCUACGGGAGGCAGCAGUAGGGAAUCUUCCACAAUGGGCGCAAGCCUGAUGGAGCAACACCGCGUGAGUGAAGAAGGGUUUCGGCUCGUAAAGCUCUGUUGUUAAAGAAGAACACGUAUGAGAGUAACUGUUCAUACGUUGACGGUAUUUAACCAGAAAGUCACGGCUAACUACGUGCCAGCAGCCGCGGUAAUACGUAGGUGGCAAGCGUUAUCCGGAUUUAUUGGGCGUAAAGAGAGUGCAGGCGGUUUUCUAAGUCUGAUGUGAAAGCCUUCGGCUUAACCGGAGAAGUGCAUCGGAAACUGGAUAACUUGAGUGCAGAAGAGGGUAGUGGAACUCCAUGUGUAGCGGUGGAAUGCGUAGAUAUAUGGAAGAACACCAGUGGCGAAGGCGGCUACCUGGUCUGCAACUGACGCUGAGACUCGAAAGCAUGGGGUAGCGAACAGGAUUAGAUA